ensembl:misc_RNA
CUGGCCUGGCUGGGAGGCGGCCUGGGAAGGGACCUGUGUUUCUCAAGCCUGCGCGCCCUCGGGGCCUGGGGGUGGGGCCCCAGCAGAUGUCUGGAUUUGGUAGCCAGGGCCUGGAGCCGGAUGCGGAGAAGGAGGCCUGCAACUCAUUUCCCCAUUAAACAUUCUGAGAACAUCUGUGCCGGUUUCCAAGGCUUCUCUCUCACUAAUUGCUCUGAUUAUUGUGUGAAGUUAAGAACUGGCACGUUUCCGCGAUGUUGUGAUGAAGGUGAAAAGAUCGCCCUUAAUUAGAUUAAAAACAUUUUUUUCUUCCCGUGUAAUUUCGCCUUGAACAUCAAGGCCACUUUUUUGUUUUCCUCAUCCAAAGACCUCCAGAAACUUUCCUCCCCACCUCUCCAGAGGUUUCUGGGGAAUGUCCUGUGAGCUCAACUCUUGGAGAAGAUAGCGCUUAACCCAGAUUCCAUUGUAU